UGAGUAAUGUCUGGGAAACUGCCUGAUGGAGGGGGAUAACUACUGGAAACGGUAGCUAAUACCGCAUAACGUCGCAAGACCAAAGAGGGGGACCUUCGGGCCUCUUGCCGUCAGAUGUGCCCAGAUGGGAUUAGCUAGUAGGUGGGGUAACGGCUCACCUAGGCGACGAUCCCUAGCUGGUCUGAGAGGAUGACCAGCCACACUGGAACUGAGACACGGUCCAGACUCCUACGGGAGGCAGCAGUGGGGAAUAUUGCACAAUGGGCGCAAGCCUGAUGCAGCCAUGCCGCGUGUAUGAAGAAGGCCUUCGGGUUGUAAAGUACUUUCAGCGGGGAGGAAGGCGGUGAAGUUAAUAGCUUCACCGAUUGACGUUACCCGCAGAAGAAGCACCGGCUAACUCCGUGCCAGCAGCCGCGGUAAUACGGAGGGUGCAAGCGUUAAUCGGAAUUACUGGGCGUAAAGCGCACGCAGGCGGUCUGUCAAGUCGGAUGUGAAAUCCCCGGG
rnacentral:rRNA from 1 species